AACGAACGCUGGCGGCAGGCUUAACACAUUCAAGUCGAGCGCCCCGCAAGGGGAGCGGCAGACGGGUGAGUAACGCGUGGGAAUCUACCGAGCCCUGCGGAAUAGCUCCGGGAAACUGGAAUUAAUACCGCAUACGCCCUACAGGGGAAAGAUUUAUCGGGGUUUGAUGAGCCCGCGUUGGAUUAGCUAGUUGGUGGGGUAAUGGCCUACAAAGGCGACGAUCCAUAGAUGGUCUGAGAGGAUGAUCAGCCACAUUGGGACUGAGACACCGGCCAAACUCCUCCGGGAGGCAGGAGUGGGGAAUAUUGAACAAUGGGGGCAACCCUGGUCCAGCCAUGCCGGGUGAGUGAUGAAGGCCUUAGGGUUGUAAAGCUCUUUCACCGGUGAAGAUAACGACGGUAACCGGAGAAGAAGCCCCGGCUGACUUCGUGCCAGCCGCCGCAGUAACAC
rnacentral:rRNA from 1 species